rnacentral:rRNA from 1 species
UACAGAGACUGCAAGCGUUAAUCGGAUUCACUGGGCGUAAAGCGUGCGCAGGCGGCUUUGCAAGACAGAUGUGAAAUCCCCGGGCUUAACCUGGGAACUGCAUUUGUGACUGCAUGGCUGGAGUGCGGCAGAGGGGGAUGGAAUUCCGCGUGUAGCAGUGAAAUGCGUAGAUAUGCGGAGGAACACCGAUGGCGAAGGCAAUCCCCUGGGCCUGCACUGACGCUCAUGCACGAAAGCGUGGGGAGCAAACAGG